GCAAGUCGAACGGUAACAGGCCGCAAGGUGCUGACGAGUGGCGAACGGGUGAGUAAUGCAUCGGAACGUGCCCAGUCGUGGGGGAUAACGCAGCGAAAGCUGUGCUAAUACCGCAUACGAUCUAUGGAUGAAAGCGGGGGACCGUAAGGCCUCGCGCGAUUGGAGCGGCCGAUGUCAGAUUAGGUAGUUGGUGGGGUAAAGGCCCACCAAGCCGACGAUCUGUAGCUGGUCUGAGAGGACGACCAGCCACACUGGGACUGAGACACGGCCCAGACUCCUACGGGAGGCAGCAGUGGGGAAUUUUGGACAAUGGGCGAAAGCCUGAUCCAGCCAUGCCGCGUGUGUGAAGAAGGUCUUCGGAUUGUAAAGCACUUUAAGUUGGGAGGAAGGGCAGUUACCUAAUACGUGAUUGUUUUGACGUUACCGACAGAAUAAGCACCGGCUAACUCUGUGCCAGCAGCCGCGGUAAUACAGAGGGUGCAAGCGUUAAUCGGAAUUACUGGGCGUAAAGCGCGCGUAGGUGGUUCGUUAAGUUGGAUGUGAAAUCCCCGGGCUCAACCUGGGAACUGCAUUCAAAACUGACGAGCUAGAGUAUGGUAGAGGGUGGUGGAAUUUCCUGUGUAGCGGUGAAAUGCGUAGAUAUAGGAAGGAACACCAGUGGCGAAGGCGACCACCUGGACUGAUACUGACACUGAGGUGCGAAA
rnacentral:rRNA from 1 species